rnacentral:rRNA from 1 species
UACGUAGGGGGCUAGCGUUGUCCGGAAUCAUUGGGCGUAAAGCGCGUGUAGGCGGCCCGGUAAGUCCGCUGUGAAAGUCGGGGGCUCAACCCUCGGAAGCCGGUGGAUACUGUCGAGCUAGAGUACGGAAGAGGCGAGUGGAAUUCCUGGUGUAGCGGUGAAAUGCGCAGAUAUCAGGAGGAACACCAAUUGCGAAGGCAGCUCGCUGGGACGUUACUGACGCUGAGACGCGAAAGCGUGGGGAGCAAACAGG